GCUUCUAUGGUGUAAAGCUAGUAGCACGCGUCCCCGGUGUGGACGAAACGCGGGCUCGAUUCCCGCCAUAUGCC